UACGGGGGGAGCAAGCGUUGUUCGGAUUUACUGGGCGUAAAGGGCGCGUAGGCGGCCAGCACAAGUCAGUUGUGAAAUCUCCAGGCUUAACUCGGAAAGGUCAACUGAUACUGUGCGGCUAGAGUGCAGAAGGGGCAACUGGAAUUCUCGGUGUAGCGGUGAAAUGCGUAGAUAUCAGGAGGAACACCGGUGGCGAAGGCGGGAUCCUGGGCCAGUACUGACGCUGAGGAGCGAAAGCGUGGGGAGCAAACAGG
rnacentral:rRNA from 1 species